AAAUGAAUAGACGGGCACCCGCACAAGCGGUGGAGCAUGCUGUUUAAUUCGAAGAUACGCGAAAAACCUUACCUAGGCUUGACAUCCCUGGCGAAGCUAUAGAAAUAUAGUGGAGGUUACCCAGGUGACAGGUGGUGCAUGGUUGUCGUCAGCUCGUGUCGUGAGAUGUUCGGUUAAGUCCGAUAACGAGCGCAACCCUCGUUACUAGUUGCUAACAUUAAGUUGAGUACUUUAGUAAGACUGCCAGUGAUAAACUGGAGGAAGGUGGGGAUGACGUCAAAUCAUCAUGCCCCUUAUGUCUAGGGCUACAGGCGUGCUACAAUGGCCAUUACAAUGAGAAGCAAUAUCGUGAGAUAAAGCAAAUCUUUAAAGAUGGUCUCAGUUCGAAUUGGAGUCUGCAACUCGACUCCAUGAAGUUGGAAUCGCUAGUAAUCCUAAAUCAGAAUGUUAGGGUGAAUACGUUCCCGGGUGUUGUACACACCGCCCGU
rnacentral:rRNA from 1 species